rnacentral:rRNA from 1 species
UAGGGAAUCUUCCGCAAUGGACGCAAGUCUGACGGAGCAACGCCGCGUGAGUGAAGAAGGAUUUCGGUUCGUAAAACUCUUUUGUUAGAGAAGAACAGCGCAUAGAGUAACUGUUAUGCGUGUGACGGUAUCUAACCAGAAAGCCACGGCUAACUACGUGCCAGCAGCCGCGGUAAUACGUAGGUGGCAAGCGUUGUCCGGAUUUAUUGGGCGUAAAGCGAGCGCAGGCGGUCAAUUAAGUCUGAUGUGAAAGCCCCCGGCUCAACCGGGGAGGGUCAUUGGAAACUGGUUGACUUGAGUGCAGAAGAGGAGAGUGGAAUUCCAUGUGUAGCGGUGAAAUGCGUAGAUAUAUGGAGGAACACCAGUGGCGAAGGCGACUCUCUGGUCUGUAACUGACGCUGAGGUUCGAAAGCGUGGGUAGCAAACAGG